rnacentral:snRNA from 1 species
ACCGGGCGUGACCGGAACGG